UACAGAGGGAGCAAGCGUUAUCCGGAAUGAUUGGGCGUAAAGCGUCUGUAGGUGGUUCUUUAAGUCUACUGUCAAAUACGUCUGGCUCAACCAACGGCAGGCAGUAGAGUACUAGAGGACUAGAGUGCGGUAGAGGGAGAGGGAAUCCCUAGCGUAACAGUGAAAUGUGUAGAUUUUAGGGAGAACACCAGCGGCGAAGGCGCUCUACUGGGCCGAGACUGACACUGAGAGACGAAAGCUAGAGGAGCGAAUAGGAUUAGAUACCCUACUAGUUCUAGCUGUAAACGAUGGAAACUAAGGGGUGCCCCCAAAGGGGCUCCUCUGUAGCUAACGCGUUAAGUUUCCCGCCUGGGGAGUAUGCUCGCAAGAGUGAA
rnacentral:rRNA from 1 species